AUUGAACGCUGGCGGCAUGCUUUACACAUGCAAGUCGAACGGUAACAGGCCUUCGGGUGCUGACGAGUGGCGAACGGGUGAGUAAUGCAUCGGAACGUACCCAGAGGUGGGGGAUAACGCAGCGAAAGCUGUGCUAAUACCGCAUGUGAUCUGAGGAUGAAAGCGGGGGACCGAGCAGCAAUGUUUGGCCUCGCGCCUUUGGAGCGGCCGAUGUCGGAUUAGCUAGUUGGUGGGGUAAAGGCCUACCAAGGCGACGAUCCGUAGCUGGUCUGAGAGGACGACCAGCCACACUGGGACUGAGACACGGCCCAGACUCCUACGGGAGGCAGCAGUGGGGAAUUUUGGACAAUGGGCGCAAGCCUGAUCCAGCAAUGCCGCGUGCGGGAAGAAGGCUUUCGGGUUGUAAACCGCUUUUGGCAGGAACGAAACGGUGUCCGCUAAUACCGGGCGCUAAUGACGGUACCUGCAGAAUAAGCACCGGCUAACUACGUG
rnacentral:rRNA from 1 species